AAUGAACGUUGGCGGCGUGGAUUAGGCAUGCAAGUCGAGCGAGAAGAGUUUGGUAGCUUGCUAUUGAACUCGGAAAGCGGCGAAAGGGAGAGUAACGCGUAGUUACGUACCCAGGGGUUCGGAAUAGCCACGGGAAACUGUGGGUAAUGCCGAAUAACAUCUCCGGAUCAAAGGUGUGAUUCCGCCCCUGGAGCGGACUGCGUCCUACUAGCUAGUUGGCGGGGUAAUGGCCCACCAAGGCAACAAUGGGUAGCGGGUGUGAGAGCAUGACCCGUCUCACUGGGACUGAGACACUGCCCAGACACCUACGGGUGGCUGCAGUCGAGAAUCUUCGGCAAUGGGCGAAAGCCUGACCGAGCGACGCCGCGUGCGGGAUGAAGGCCCUCGGGUUGUAAACCGCUGUCGUAGGGGAGGAAGGCUCCGUGAAGAACGGGGUUUGACCUAUCCUAGGAGGAAGUACGGGCUAAGUUCGUGCCAGCCGCCGCGGUAAUAC
rnacentral:rRNA from 1 species